rnacentral:rRNA from 1 species
AGAUCUAGUGGCGAACGGGUGAGGAACACGUGAGAAACGUACCCCAGACUCUGGGAUAACAAUUGGAAACGAUUGCUAAUACCGGAUGACGUCGGAGAACCGCAUGGUUCACUGACGAAAGAUAUUUCGGUUUGGGAGGGUCUCGCGGCCUAUCAGCUUGUUGGCGGGGUAAUGGCCCACCAAGGCAACGACGGGUAGCUGGUCUGAGAGGAUGGUCAGCCACACUGGGACUGAGAUACGGCCCAGAAUCC